GACGAACGCUGGCGGCGUGCCUAAUACAUGCAAGUUGAGCGCUGAAGGUUGGUACUUGUACCAACUGGAUGAGCAGCGAACGGGUGAGUAACGCGUGGGGAAUCUGCCUUUGAGCAGGGGACAACAUUUGGAAACGAAUGCUAAUACCGCAUAAAAACUUUAAACACAAGUUUUAAGUUUGAAAGAUGCAAUUGCAUCACUCAAAGAUGAUCCCGCGUUGUAUUAGCUAGUUGGUGAGGUAAAGGCUCACCAAGGCGAUGAUACAUAGCCGACCUGAGAGGGUGAUCGGCCACAUUGGGACUGAGACACGGCCCAAACUCCUACGGGAGGCAGCAGUAGGGAAUCUUCGGCAAUGGACGAAGGCCUGACGGAGCAACGCCGCGUGAGUGAUGAAGGUCUUCGGAUCGUAAAACUCUGUUAUUAGGGAAGAACAAAUGUGUAAGUAACUAUGCACGUCUUGACGGUACCUAAUCAGAAAGCCACGGCUAACUACGUG
rnacentral:rRNA from 1 species